GGGGUUGUAGCUCAGUGGUAGAGCACUUGCCUUGUACAUGUGAGGCCCUGGGUUCGAUCCUCAGCACCA
rnacentral:tRNA from 1 species